UACGGAGGGAGCUAGCGUUGUUCGGAGUUACUGGGCGUAAAGGGUGCGUAGGCGUUGUUUAAGUUUGGUGUGAAAUCUCCCGGCUCAACUGGGAGGGUGCGCCGAAUACUGAAUGACUAGAGUGCGGGAGAGGAGAGUGGAAUUCCGUGGUGUAGCGGUGAAAUGCGUAGAUAUCAGGAGGAACACCGGUGGUGUAGACGGCUCUCUGGACCGUAACUGACGCUGAGGCACGAAAGCGUGGGUAGCAAACAGG
rnacentral:rRNA from 1 species